CCUACGGGGGGCAGCAGUGGGGGAUAUUGCACAAUGGGGGAAGCCCUGAUGCAGCGACGCCGCGUGAGUGAAGAAGUAUUUCGGUAUGUAAAGCUCUAUCAGCAGGGAAGAAAAUGACUGUACCUGACUAAGAAGCCCCGGCUAACUACGUGCCAGCAGCCGCGGUAAUACGUAGGGGGCAAGCGUUAUCCGGAUGUACUGGGUGUAAAGGGAGCGUAGACGGUUUUGUAAGUCUGGAGUGAAAGCCCGGGGCUCAACCCCGGGACUGCCUUGGAAACUGUGAAACUGGAGUGCAGGAGGGGCAAGUGGAAUUCCUGGUGUAGGGGUGAAAUGCGUAGAUAUCAGGAGGAACACCAGUGGCGAAGGCGGCCUGCUGGACUGAAACUGACGUUGAGGCUCGAAAGCGUGGGGAGCAAACAGGAUUAGAUACCCCGGUAGUC
rnacentral:rRNA from 1 species